rnacentral:rRNA from 1 species
GGACGAACGCUGGCGGCGUGGAUUAGGCAUGCAAGUCGCGCGACGAACCUUCGGGUUACGGAGCGGCGAACGGGUGAGUAACACGUGAACAAUCUGUCCUCACGUUCCGGAUAAUUGGCCGAAAGGCCUUGUAAUACGGGCGAGGGCCACUGUGGGGCAUCUCAUAGUGAAGGAAGGUGAAGGAGCAAUCCUUUACCGCGCGAGGAGGGGUUCGCGGCCUAUCAGGUAGUUGGUGCGGUCAUGGCGCACCAAGCCGACGACGGGUAGCUGGUCUGAGAGGAUGGUCAGCCACAUUGGGACUGAGACACUGCCCAGACUCCUACGGGAGGCUGCAGUCGAGAAUCUUGGGCAAUGCACGAAAGUGUGACCCAGCGACGCCGCGUGGAGGAUGAAGGCCCUUGGGUUGUAAACUCCUUUUCGAGGGGAAGAACGCACCUUCGGGUGCUUGACGGUACCCUCGGAAUAAGCCACGGCUAACUACGUGCCAGCAGCCGCGGUAAUACGUAGGUGGCAAGCGUUGUCCGGAUUUACUGGGCGUAAAGCGUGUGUAGGCGGGACUUUAAGUAGCAAGUGAAAGGUUGGUGCUCAACACCAACACUGCUCGCUAUACUGGAGACCUUGAGUGCCGGAGAGGAAGAUGGAACUGCACGUGUAGCGGUGAAAUGCGUUGAGAUGUGCAGGAACACCAAUGGCGAAGGCAAUCUUCUAGACGGAAACUGACGCUGAGACACGAAAGCCAAGGGAGCGAACAGGAUUAGAUACCCUGGUAGUCUUGGCCCUAAACUAUGUUCACUAGGUGUUGGGGGUUUCCCUCAGUGCCGCAGCUAACGCAUUAAGUGAACCGCCUGGGGACUACGGCCGCAAGGUUGAAACUCAAAGGAAUUGGCGGGGGCCCGCACAAGCGGUGGAGCAUGUGGCUUAAUUCGAUGCAACGCGAAGAACCUUACCUAGUCUAGAAUGCUCCUGACAGCCCUAGAGAUAGGGUUUCUUGGGUAAAACCAAGCAGGAUGCAAGGUGCUGCAUGGCUGUCGUCAGCUCGUGUCGCGAGAUGUUAGGUUAAGUCCCGCAACGAGCGCAACCC